rnacentral:rRNA from 1 species
GAUGAACGCUGGCGGCGUGCCUAAUACAUGCCAGUCGAGCGAACGGACGAGAAGCUUGCUUUUCUGAUGUUAGCGGCGGACGGGUGAGUCACACGUGGAUAACCUACCUAUAAGACUGGGAUAACUUCGGGAAACCGGAGCUAAUACCGGAUAAUAUUUUGAACCGCAUGGGUCAAAAGUGAAAGACGGUCUUUCUGUCACUUAUAGAUGGAUCCGCGCUGCAUUAGCUAGUUGGUAAGGUAACGGCUUAACAAGGCGACGAUGCAUAGACGACCUGAGAGCGUGGUAGCCCACCCUGGAAGUGAGCCACGGUCCAGACUCCGACGGUAGGCCGCAGUAGGGAAUCUUACGCAAUGGGCGAGAGCCUGACGGAGCAACGCGGCGUGAGUGAUGAAGGUCUUCGGAUCGGAAAGCUCUGUUAUUAGGGAAGAACAUAUGUGUAAUUACCCGUGCACAUCUUGACGGUACCGAAUCAAAAAGCUACGGCUAACUACGUG